ACAGCUGAUUAACGACUGCUUUCAAGUUCUUUUCCUGAAUUCACUUUUCAGACUUAAAAAAUAAGUAUGAAAGGUCUCUUUUUCACCUUAAUAGACUGGUUUUCUGUCACCAUUUGACAUUUUCCCCCUCAAACGCUGAAAUGACAACGCAGACAGUGCGUGUUUAGACUUAUCGGUUUGCCCUCGGUGGUCCGAUCUUGUCAAGCCGCUGAAUUUAAAACGCUGGCGGACUGCCAGAUCUUUGUUAGCUGGGGAGUCUUCCAGAUUACUUUCAUUUCCAGCAUCAGAGCAUUUUCCUUCACUGCAUCUGCAUCUUCUUUUAUCAAAAACUGAAAAUGAAGCACGUCUUUAUUUUUCUCUUUUUGCUGUUGUGUGUUUGUGGGCACGAUACAGUGCCAGUGUCUGUGACAGAGGGAGAUUCAGUCACUCUAUACACUGAUAUUAAAACAAUUCAACAAGAAGAGAUUAGUUGGUAUUUUAACGGCAGUCGCAUUGCUGAAAUCAGUGGAGAUCCCAAUAAGACCUGCACAGAUGUUCAGUGUUAUAAUGGCACUGAGAGAUUCAGAGACAGACUGAAGCUGAAUAAUCAGACUGGAUCUUUAAUCAUCACAAACAUCACAAACCACAGAUUCUGGAGAAUAUAAACUACAGAUCAACAGCAGCAGCGACAGUCAUCUUCAGCUCUUCAAUGUUUCUGUUUGUUAUGUUCCUGAACGAGAGAAAAGAAAGUCAGUGAAGGAGGGAGAUUCUGUCACUUUAGAUCUGUAAGAAGUGAAAACCACAA